rnacentral:rRNA from 1 species
AAGGGCUCGUAGGCGGUUUGUCGCGUCGGGAGUGAAAACCAGGUGCUUAACACCUGGCUUGCUUUCGAUACGGGCAGACUAGAGGUAUUCAGGGGAGAACGGAAUUCCUGGUGUAGCGGUGAAAUGCGCAGAUAUCAGGAGGAACACCGGUGGCGAAGGCGGUUCUCUGGGAAUGACCUGACGCUGAGGAGCGAAAGUGUGGGGAGCGAACAGGAUUAGAUACCCUGGUAGUCCACACCGUAAACGUUGGGCGCUAGGUGUGGGGUCCAUUCCACGGAUUCCGUGCCGCAGCUAACGCAUUAAGCGCCCCGCCUGGGGAGUACGGCCGCAAGGCUAAAACUCAAAGGAAUUGACGGGGGCCCGCACAAGCGGCGGAGCAUGCGGAUUAAUUCGAUGCAACGCGAAGAACCUUACCUGGGUUUGACAUACACCCUGCCGCUCCAGAGAUGGGGCUUCUUUUGGGGGUGUACAGGUGGUGCAUGGCUGUCGUCAGCUCGUGUCGUGAGAUGUUGGGUUAAGUCCCGCAACGAGCGCAACCCUCGUUCUAUGUUGCCAGCACGUAAUGGUGGGGACUCAUAGGAGACUGCCGGGGUCAACUCGGAGGAAGGUGGGGAUGACGUCAAGUCAUCAUGCCCCUUAUGUCCAGGGCUUCACGCAUGCUACAAUGGCCGGUACAAAGGGCUGCGAUCCCGUAAGGGGGAGCGAAUCCCAAAAAGCCGGUCUCAGUUCGGAUUGGGGUCUGCAAAUCGACCCCAUGAAGUCGGAGUCGCUAGUAAUCGCAG